GAUGAACGCUAGCUACAGGCUUAACACAUGCAAGUCGAGGGGAAACGAUAUUGAAAGCUUGCUUUUGAUGGGCGUCGACCGGCGCACGGGUGAGUAACGCGUAUCCAACCUGCCCACCACUUGGGGAUAACCUUGCGAAAGUAAGACUAAUACCAAAUGACGUCUCUAGAAGACAUCUGAAGGAGAUUAAAGAUUUAUCGGUGAUGGAUGGGGAUGCGUCUGAUUAGCUUGUUGGCGGGGUAGCGGCCCACCAAGGCGACGAUCAGUAGGGGUUCUGAGAGGAAGGUCCCCCACAUUGGAACUGAGACACGGUCCAAACUCCUACGGGAGGCAGCAGUGAGGAAUAUUGGUCAAUGGGCGAGAGCCUGAACCAGCCAAGUAGCGUGCAGGAUGACGGCCCUAUGGGUUGUAAACUGCUUUUAUAAGGGAAUAAAGUGAGUCUCGUGAGACUUUUUGCAUGUACCUUAUGAAUAAGGACCGGCUAACUACGUGCCAGCCGCCGCAGUAA
rnacentral:rRNA from 1 species